rnacentral:misc_RNA from 1 species
AGUUAAAUAGUACGUGAAAUUGUUGAAAGGGAAACGAUUGAAGCCAGUCGUACCUAUGGGUAAUCAGCCUUUUGGGUGUGAUUUUGUGGAGCGUGAGGAGUUAAACGCCUUCAUGCCUGCAUAUUCGUGCACUUUGGGUGUACUUGCCCGUAUGGUUGGUUAACAUCAAUUUUGGUGGUCAUAAAAUGACUGGAGGAAUGUAGCUUCGAUCUCGUAUUGAAGUGUUAUAGCCUUCGGUAGAUGUGAUGAUCGAGAUUGAGGAUUGCAACGGAUACCCUUCGGGGCUACCUGUCUGAUCUCUGAUCGUUGCUCUGGUGCCGAAAGCUUGCUUACGGUUAUCAAAGUCGAUGGUCAAUAGGCUAGAACGGGUUAAAUUCGUUAAGGAUGUUGACGUAAUGGCUUUAAA